CCGACUUAUGAUAUGUAGAGUUUGGUUGUAGCUGGCUCCUAAUUAACUUGGGGGCAUGUGCACACCUUUCUCUUUCAUCCCAUACACACCUGUGCACCUGUGAGACAGAUGUUUUGUGGGGGGGAAGGAACUUUAUUGGACCUUCUACUCCCCCUUGACUUCUGUCUACUUAAUUCAUAUAAACUCAAUUUAUUUUAAAACGGAUGUAAUGGAUGUAACACAUCUAAUACUAAGUUUCAACAACGGAUCUCUUGGCUCUCGCAUCGAUGAAGAACGCAGCGAAAUGCGAUAAGUAAUGUGAAUUGCAGAAUUCAGUGAAUCAUCGAAUCUUUGAACGCACCUUGCGCUCCUUGGUAUUCCUUGGAGCAUGCCUGUUUGAGUAUCAUGAAAUCUUCAAAGUCAAACCUUUUGUUAAUUCAAUUGGUUCUGCUUUGGUAUUGGAGGAUUAUUGCAGCUUCACACCUGCUCCUCUUUGUGCAUUAGCUGGAUCUCAGUGUUAUGCUUGGUUCCACUCAGCGUGAUAAGUUAUCUAUCGCUGAGGACACCCUGUUAAAAAGGGGUGGCCAAGGUAAAUGCAGAUGAACCGCUUCUAAUAGUCCAUUGACUUGGACAAUAUCUAAUUUAUGAUCUGAUCUCAAAUCAGGUAGGACUACCCGCUGAACUUAAGCAUAUCAUAAAGCGGAGGAAGAAGGCUUUGGGGAAAUAAAGACUAAUCAUUUUCGCACCUUACCUACUAACUGGGGGGAUGAGCCUCUUUUCUUUUCUGCAAUACACUGUGCCUGGAACAAGUUUUGUGGAGGGGAAGAAUUUGGCCAUCCCUUGAAUGGUCAUAGUUAUAACAUUAUUUAAGAGAGUAGGGAGUUCUAUCAGUUCCACGAAUCUGGGUCUCCCAAAUAUCGAUAUGACUAGAGGGUAUAUAGGUAUAUAUAUCUACUAGGAGGGGAACUCA
rnacentral:rRNA from 1 species